CAGUAGCCGCGGUAAUACGUAGGGUGCGAGCGUUAAUCGGAAUUACUGGGCGUAAAGCGUGCGCAGGCGGUUGUGUAAGACAGGUGUGAAAUCCCCGGGCUUAACCUGGGAACUGCGCUUGUGACUGCACAGCUAGAGUAUGGCAGAGGGGGGUGGAAUUCCACGUGUAGCAGUGAAAUGCGUAGAGAUGUGGAGGAACACCGAUGGCGAAGGCAGCCCCCUGGGCCAAUACUGACGCUCAUGCACGAAAGCGUGGGGAGCAAACAGGAUUAGAUACCCCUGUAGUCCCUGUCUCUUAUAC
rnacentral:rRNA from 1 species